GCCUUCGUAGUGCAAUGGCCAGCACAUUCCGCGCGUAUUCCAGAGGUCCGAGGUUCGAGUCCCGGCAAGGGCA
rnacentral:tRNA from 1 species